AUAGGAAGGAACUCGGCAAACAUGAAAACAUCGCCUCUUGACCAAAAACAUCGCCUCUUGCAAUUAUAGGUUAGAGGUCCUGCCUGCCCAGUGACAUUAAGUUUAACGGCCGCGGUAUUAUGACCGCUGCAAAGGUAGCGUAAUCACUUGUCUUUUAAAUAAAGACCAGUAUGAAUGGCAAGACGACGAAAGUUCAACUGUCUCCCUAAAUUAAUCAGUGAAAUUGAUUUCUCCGUGCAGAAGCGGAGAAGAUAAAAUUAUAAGACGAGAAGACCCUAUGGAGCUUUAAACAUAUAAUCAAUUGUAUUCCACAUAAAAUCCGAAAGAUAAAAUAUAAAAUAAAACAAUAUGAUUAAAAUUUUAGGUUGGGGCGACGACAUAAAACAAUAUGAUUAAAAUUUUAGGUUGGGGCGACGACCACGGAGAAAAACAAAACCUCCGAGAUGAAAAGAAUAUCUUAAUUUAAGAACCACAAUAUUCCAAAAAAUAAAAUAUUUAACAUAAUUGAUCCAAUAUUUUGAUCAACGAACCAAGUUACCACCCUAGGGAUAACAGCGCAAUCCUCUCCAAGAGUCCCUAUCGACGAGUGGGUUUACGACCCUCUCGAUGUUGGAUCAGGACACCCCCGAUGGUGCAGCCGCUAUAAAGGUUCGUUUGUUCAACGAUUAAAGUCCUUACGUGAUCUGGUUCAUUCCGGAGUAAACCAGGUCAGUUUUUAUCUAUAAAAAAUUUUUUCUAGUACAAAA
rnacentral:rRNA from 1 species